rnacentral:rRNA from 1 species
AUGUUCAGGAGGAUGUUCCAAGGUGGUUCUUCAAGGAAGCAAGGUCCCAGACUUGCAAUACGUGAUGCUGACGAGGAACCACCAAGAGAUGCUCAUGUGAGGCCCUGUGAAUGGCCAUCGGAAAAUUUUAUGAAUCAAGUGGGAAUCGAAGAAGAAUUUAGUGCAUAUUUGCUUAACACCGAUCUUGAGGAUUUUGAAGCUGACAAAUGCCCCCAGUAUCAUGAUCUCACAAGUUCAUUUGUGAGGAGGUUUGAGUUUUCAUCUUCGCGUAAUUCUCCUUCAGUCAUGUUUGACCUUUAUGACAAAUCUUAUACCAUGGACUUAGAGGAUUUCACUUCUGCUUGCAAACUUCCAUCUUGGGGUAAUGUCAGGGAUCCCCCUAAAUCUGAAUAUAGAGACUUUCUUGCUAGAAUAACUGUGGGGGGAUCUAGAGAUAUAACACAAGCCACUAUAGGGAGCGUUCACUUUCCUGCUAUACAUUAUUUUGAUCUCUUCAUAGGUAGAUGCAUAAAUGCUAAGGAUGAAGCAUGUCACAUGUGUGUCCCUGAUCUCAGCAUUCUCAGGAGUGCUGUGUUAGGAGACCAAUCUUAUCAUAUGGGAGCCAUUGUAGCUCACAGGUUGCAUCAGAAUAGACAUAACGGAGAUUUCUUUGGAGGAAUUUAUGCAACCCGCUUAGCUAAUUUUCUUGAGAUAGACAUUCAUGAGGGUGAUAUGGAGUUACCCCCUUCUUAUUUAGAUUUUGAUUCUAUGGUUUCCCACCAGUUUGUUGAGAGGACUGAACCACCUCUCCAGUAUCGACUAAUCUUUAACAAACGUCAUGUAGUCCAUAUUGCUCUUCCUGCUCCUGCCUUCUUUGAUUCACAGACAAAAGGAAGAUAUAUUAUUACUAGAGAGGAGGCAGAUGAGUACGAGAGGAGAGCGGAGGCUGCUCAACGUCACGCUACAGCUCAGGCGGCGAUAGCCGCUGCAUCGCAGUACGACCCCAGCUUCACCUAUGAGUAUCCGCCAGGCUAUCCCUGGCAAUAG